UACGUAGGUGGCAAGCGUUGUCCGGAUUUAUUGGGCGUAAAGAGCGUGUAGGCGGCCAGGUAGGUCUGCUGUGAAAACUCGAGGCUUAACCUCGAGCUGUCGGCGGAAACCAUCUGGCUAGAGUCCGGAAGAGGAGAAUGGAAUUCCUGGUGUAGUGGUGAAAUGGCGUAGAUAUCAAGAGGAACACCUGAGGUGAAGACGGGUUGCUGGGCUGACACUGACGCUGGAGGCGACGAAAGCGUGGGGAGCAACAGG
rnacentral:rRNA from 1 species